CCCCCUCCCGGCGUGCCGCGCCCAGACCCCCGCGCCAGGGAAACUGAGGCCGCGGGGUCGGUGACCGCCCAAGGGCACGCCGCCUGAGGCCUUGGAGACCUGCUCAGGCCUCGUUCCAGAAAGGGAAACUGAGGCCCGCGAGGCGGAAGGACACGUCCAAGGUCACUGAGCCCAGCCCCGGGGACCAGAGCCUCCUCCGCGCUCCACCUUCGCAAGGGAUCUUCCCCGCGCGCAGGGUUCACCCGCCUGGAUGCCACAGCCAGGCGCAGGGAAGCGAGACCGCCCCCGUGCCAGCCUCCUUCCUUUCUAGAUCACUCUCCCUGGUGGAUGGGGCGGGACAGCCAGACCUGAUGACCCCCAGCACUUCUGUCCUACUUCGUUCCAGCUCUGUCUUCUGCUGCUGGGCAAGACCCCCAAUCCCUCCCUUGCUGCCAACCGGUGUGAGACCUUGGGGUGCCCGCACCUUGGGGUGCCCUGGGUGGGGUGUCCCAGGGAGAGGAUGCACAGCCCCCUCUGUGGGCCCAGAGAUGCCCGUGGGGCACUUCCAAAGAGCACCGGCAACGUGCCGUUUCAUCUAAUGGACACCCCAGCCCUCUGCCCUUCUGCCCUCCCAGAUUGGGACCCCGAGACACCAGUUCCUGAGCCUCCUAGCACUUGCCAAAUAUGAACCCAUGGACUCUUGAGACUUGGCUGCUGUCACUUCUUCAUCCCACUCUGGGGAAACUGAGGCAGGCUCCAGCAGGCUGUUAACAAGAACGCCCCCCAGCGGCACGGAGCGCACACUGCCGCGCUCAUUAAAUGCUUACAGAUGGAGGGAUGAAUACUUAAGUACUUACAAAGAAAGCUUACCAAGCUGCUUCACCCCCCACGCUCCAGGAAGCCCCGCUCCUGCCCCAGGCUCUGGCGGCCAGAAGCUCCCGUACGUCCCGUCUGGACCCAGUGCAGAGCGCGGCAGGAAGCAGAUGGACAGGGCCCUGGCCUCCCGGGGGACACAGAGCCCGGCAACCCAGUGCGCACGUGUGCCUUCUGACUUCGGGCGAGGAGGGAGGCUGCACCUGAGCCCCGGCAGCUUCCCCAGCGAGGGGCCAGCUCGUCAUCACCUCCUCCCCCGCCACAGCCCAGCCACGACACGGGUGCCCAGCCAGUGUUGCUUCGUGAUCUCCACAAAGUGUGAGUGGUGGGUGCCCCCAAGGAACCCCAGGGUGCAGGGAGGCUGGGCCAGCUGUGUCCAGGGCCAGGCUGGUGCAGCCCCAAGAGCCCUCUGUAGAGGAGGGGCUCCGCUGGCCCCUAGAGCCUGCUCCAUGGCAAGUGCGUAGCGCCCUCUGGUGACGGCCAGGGGGAAGGCCGGGUCCGCAGCUCCUCCAGCCCAGCGGGUUCAGCUCUUCCCGGUGACCUGGGGGUGGGAAGGGGCUGUAUCACGGACACCCGUUCUGCCCACAGAAGCCCAGGGAAUACUUGCAGCUGACAGUGUGGCCGCCAGAGCUCAGCGGGGCUGGGGGCACCCCGGUCAGCACCACUUCAGAGCCUGGAGUCUCAAACUGGCAGUUCGCGGGCCAGGCUUGACCUCGCGGGCGUCGUUACGCUGGAGUUUUUGCCCACAUUGAAAAUUAAGAAUUUCACAUGCAAGCCCCAAUUUCUGGCUGCUCCGGAGACUUGGGAAUAGCUGGCUCAGAGCUCCUUGGCCUCUGGUUCCUCCUGACCCCAGAGGGGAGGUAUGGGAUGACCACACUCCCUAGGAGUGGCUGCGGGGUCACUCCUCUGUACCAAGCAGGAGGCCUAGAUGGCACGGGCCAGAGCCCCCAGGUUUGGCGAGGACGAAGCUCAUGAGGCCCUACCUCCUGUGAUCUGCUCCCAUGGAGUGUUCCCCAGACCCUCAGCCCCACCCAUGUUUGUUGCAGUUGUCAGGCUGGGCUGUGCAAACAGGGACUCCCUUUCUCCUGGGGGCCAGCUCAGAAGGGCCACCUCCCUACCACAGCACUGCCCUUCGGGGCUUUCUAGGCCUCAGUGGCCCCCCUUCAGCUGGACAAAGUCCCAAGGGGCUGGCUCCACUACGGACACCUGCUGGGAUCCAUCAUGAGGGCCUGCCCCACCCCCUCACCUCCCACUCAAACCACAGGGAGCUUCCUGCCCAGGGCAGGUGGGUGCCAGGCAGCUGUGGGUGGGGGUUGUCUGUUCUGUCCUGGGGGGCCCAUGGGAAGGAUUCCCAGGUGCCCCUGUCCGGUCCUCUCUGACGGCAAGAAACAAACUCAGAGGGAAGGGCUGCUGUGUGGAGGGAACCAGCUGGUGAGCCCCUCCCAUUCCCAGACCUGCCACAGGCCCGGCCCCUCUGCCCCCCCCCCCCAUCUGCACCC